UACGGGGGGGGUAAGCGUUGUUCGGGAUUACUGGGCGUAAAGGGCUCGUAGGCGGCCAACUAAGUCGGACGUGAAAUCCCUCAGCUUAACUGGGGAACUGCGUCCGAUACUGGAUGGCUUGGAUUUGGGAGAGGGAUGCGGAAUUCCAGGUGUAGCGGUGAAAUGCGUAGAUAUCUGGAGGAACACCGGUGGCGAAGGCGGCAUCCUGGACCAAUAUUGACGCUGAGGAGCGAAAGCCAGGGGAGCAAACGGG
rnacentral:rRNA from 1 species